AGAGUUUGAUCAUGGCUCAGGAUGAACGCUGGCGGCGUGCCUAAUACAUGCAAGUCGAGCGAACCACUUCGGUGGUGAGCGGCGAACGGGUGAGUAACACGUAGGUGAUCUGCCCAUCAGGCGGGGACAACGAUUGGAAACGAUCGCUAAUACCGGAUAGGACGAAAGUUUAAAGGUGCUUCUGGCACCGCUGAUGGAUGAGCCUGCGGCGCAUUAGCUAGUUGGUAGGGUAAAGGCCUACCAAGGCGACGAUGCGUAGCCGACCUGAGAGGGUGAACGGCCACACUGGGACUGAGACACGGCCCAGACUCCUACGGGAGGCAGCAGUAGGGAAUCUUCGGCAAUGGGCGAAAGCCUGACCGAGCAACGCCGCGUGAAUGAUGAAGGCCUUCGGGUUGUAAAAUUCUGUUAUAAGGGAAGAACGACUUUAGUAGGAAAUGGCUAGAGUGUGACGGUACCUUAUGAGAAAGCCACGGCUAACUACGUG
rnacentral:rRNA from 1 species